UUACUAAAAAUAAUAAUUCUAUUAAGACUGUGAUCAUUGCUAUUGAAAAUAAUAAUUCUAUUACAAGCAUCUAUGACAACACUCAAUGAAAAAAAAAAACAUCUAUUGCAUCACUUAUUAUUAAUUCCCUCCACAAUAUUUCACUUAAUACUGCCAAAACAAAAUUUUUUUCUCUUUCUUUCUCAUAAAAUUAUCAAAACCCUUAUUGCGUUUUUCUCUUUCUCUUUUUUUUUUUUAAUUCAAAACUAAUUUCUCAGAUAAAUGAUAAAUUGAUAACCCAUUUCUCAGGUAAAUCAAAAACUGUUUCUCAGAUAUUUGAUUUUCGAAGCGUCUGUGUAGAAAUCGUUACUCAAGAGGGCAAUUUGAUUAGCUGUGACAAGGAAAUUGAAUUUUGAGGGUGAAAUUGGAAAUCAGGGAUUGAAGAAAUCGAAGCUUGUUGGGUACUACUGAAACUGGUGAUGAAGCUUGUUAAAUGAUUGGAUCCAGAGGAUAAACCUCCAGAAAGACAAGAUUUAAACGAAAGCACACUAGACUUGUCAUUGGGCUUCACAGAUCACGAGAAAAAACGAUGCUGACUUGAAAACCAAUUGGACAAAAGACGGUAAACUGGACAGAGUGAACUCCAAUAGCACCGGCUGAUGCUGCUCGUAUCAGUUGAGCCUCUUUAACUGCAUUAAUCCUUAAUUGGCUUUAAGAUCUGAACUCCACUAUUCUCGUCAUCACCAGCAAUACCAGGUACACCAACUCAACUACUCUCAUCAUCACAAAGAGUGGAUUCAAUGGGAUUAUAUGAUAGUAAGUCAAUGCCUAGAUGCAAGUGUUUGCCUUUGGAUGCACCACAUACUUGUCUCACACACUGACUUUGUUGAGCUGCGGUAGAUAAUAUGACUGCCCUGCUAGUAGUAGUUCUUGUGCUGUUGUAGUGGUUUCUAGAAAAGAUCAUGGCUUCUGAAUAUACCAUGUUCGGGGAAUUCUUCAGUGAUCACUCCACUGUAAUGGGAGCUAUUUGUAGUUUAUCAUUUUAUCUUGUAGUAAUUGCAGAGUUACAGAUUUCUGUAUAAUAAUUUAUCCUAAUUGUACUGUAAUGUAUAUCUAAUUCUAGAUUUUCGAUGUUA